rnacentral:rRNA from 1 species
UGGCUCAGAUUGAACGCUGGCGGCAGGCCUAACACAUGCAAGUCGAGCGGUAGCACGGGAGAGCUUGCUCUCUGGGUGACGAGCGGCGGACGGGUGAGUAAUGUCUGGGGAUCUGCCUGAUGGAGGGGGAUAACUACUGGAAACGGUAGCUAAUACCGCAUAACGUCGCAAGACCAAAGAGGGGGACCUUCGGGCCUCUUGCCAUCAGAUGAACCCAGAUGGGAUUAGCUAGUAGGUGGGGUAAUGGCUCACCUAGGCGACGAUCCCUAGCUGGUCUGAGAGGAUGACCAGCCACACUGGAACUGAGACACGGUCCAGACUCCUACGGGAGGCAGCAGUGGGGAAUAUUGCACAAUGGGCGCAAGCCUGAUGCAGCCAUGCCGCGUGUAUGAAGAAGGCCUUCGGGUUGUAAAGUACUUUCAGCGAGGAGGAAGGCAUUAAGGUUAAUAACCUUAGUGAUUGACGUUACUCGCAGAAGAAGCACCGGCUAACUCCGUGCCAGCAGCCGCGGU